rnacentral:rRNA from 1 species
AUACGGAGGGUGCAAGCGUUACUCGGAAUCACUGGGCGUAAAGCGCGCGCAGGCGGCUUGAUAAGUUGGAUGUGAAAGCCUACGGCUCAACCGUAGAACUGCAUCCAAAACUGUCAAGCUAGAGUCUGGGAGGGGAAGAUGGAACUAGUUGUGUAGGGGUAAAAUCCGUAGAUAUCACUAGGAAUACCAAAAGCGAAGGCAAUCUUCUGGAACACUACUGACGCUGAGGCGCGAAGGCGUGGGGAGCAAACAGGAUUAGAAACCCCUGUAGUCC